UGAGGAAUAUUGGUCAAUGGGCGAGAGCCUGAACCAGCCAAGUAGCGUGCGGGAUGAAGGCCCUUGUGGUCGUAAACCGCUUUUAUCAGUGAAUAAAGUGCAUCACGUGUGGUGUCAUUGCAGGUAGCUGAAGAAAAAGGACCGGCUAAUUCCGUGCCAGCAGCCGCGGUAAUACGGAAGGUCCGGGCGUUAUCCGGAAUUAUUGGGUUUAAAGGGAGCGCAGGCGGGAGUAUAAGUCAGCUGUUAAAUAUCAGGGCCCAACUCUGUUAUGCAGUUGAAACUAUAUUUCUUGAGUACGCACAGGGAUGGCGGAAUUCAGGGUGUAGCGGUGAAAUGCUUAGAUAUCCUGAAGAACUCCGAUCGCGAAGGCAGCCAUCCGGAGCGUAACUGACGCUGAGGCUCGAAGGUGCGGGUAUCGAACAGGAUUAGAUACCCUGGUAGUCCGCACGGUAAACGAUGAAUACUCGCAGUUCGGCCUUUUAGGUCGAGUUGUCCAGCGAAAGCGUUAAGUAUUCCACCUGGGGAGUACGCCGGCAACGGUG
rnacentral:rRNA from 1 species